rnacentral:lncRNA from 1 species
GGGGUUUAAUUAUUUUGGUUCUUUUCUUGGAAAUUUUAUGAUGGAAAAUAAAGGCAUGCAAAGAUAAGAGAAGUGAGAGGGGCUGUGGAGUGGGAGUCGUUGUCGUCGUGGAAUAUAUAUUUAUUAGGGAAAUGCAUAAUUAAAUUUUGGAAGAAAAAUAAAAUUUAAUUAGUCAAGCUACGUAGACAUUCGAAAUUAGAAUUAGGUUUUGUUGGCAUGUUUUUUUGCUAUUGUUUUUUUUUUUGUGUGAGUCGUGAUUAUGUUUUGUUCCCCAACGUGGUUGACUCAAAAAAGGCAAGGUGAAAAAUACAUCACAUUUUAUAUUUNUUUUUUUCUAGGUGCUUCAAUGUUUUUCCAUUAGGUGUCAUGUUACAAAAAUGAUUUGUAUUGUAUGGUAUAAAAUAUGAUAUUAAUACACUGAUAAAUAAUAAUGUAAUGAGAUAUAGUACACAUUAA